rnacentral:rRNA from 1 species
AGAGUUUGAUCCUGGCUCAGGACGAACGCUGGCGGCGUGCCUAAUACAUGCAAGUCGAGCGGACAGAAGGGAGCUUGCUCCCGGAUGUUAGCGGCGGACGGGUGAGUAACACGUGGGUAACCUGCCUGUAAGACUGGGAUAACUCCGGGAAACCGGAGCUAAUACCGGAUAGUUCCUUGAACCGCAUGGUUCAAGGAUGAAAGACGGUUUCGGCUGUCACUUACAGAUGGACCCGCGGCGCAUUAGCUAGUUGGUGAGGUAACGGCUCACCAAGGCGACGAUGCGUAGCCGACCUGAGAGGGUGAUCGGCCACACUGGGACUGAGACACGGCCCAGACUCCUACGGGAGGCAGCAGUAGGGAAUCUUCCGCAAUGGACGAAAGUCUGACGGAGCAACGCCGCGUGAGUGAUGAAGGUUUUCGGAUCGUAAAGCUCUGUUGUUAGGGAAGAACAAGUGCAAGAGUAACUGCUUGCACCUUGACGGUACCUAACCAGAAAGCCACGGCUAACUACGUGCCAGCAGCCGCGGUAAUACGUAGGUGGCAAGCGUUGUCCGGAAUUAUUGGGCGUAAAGGGCUCGCAGGCGGUUUCUUAAGUCUGAUGUGAAAGCCCCCGGCUCAACCGGGGAGGGUCAUUGGAAACUGGGAAACUUGAGUGCAGAAGAGGAGAGUGGAAUUCCACGUGUAGCGGUGAAAUGCGUAGAGAUGUGGAGGAACACCAGUGGCGAAGGCGACUCUCUGGUCUGUAACUGACG